UACAAUGGCGUAAACAAAGGGAAGCGAAGCAGUGAUGUGGAGCAAAUCCCAAAAAUAACGUCCCAGUUCGGAUUGUAGUCUGCAACCCGACUACAUGAAGCUGGAAUCGCUAGUAAUCGCGGAUCAGAAUGCCGCGGUGAAUACGUUCCCGGGUCUUGUACACACCGCCCGUCACACCAUGGGAGUUGGUAACGCCCGAAGUCAGUGACCCAACCAAACGGAGGGAGCUGCCGAAGGCGGGACCGGUAACUGGGGUGAAGUCGUAACAAGGUAAC
rnacentral:rRNA from 1 species